GGGCAAGUGAUAUUUAAUUUGAUAAUUUAUUUUGACCAAUUAACAAAAGUUGCUACUUUGAUUGCAACAAAAAUUAAAUAUUUUUAUAUAAAUUAAGGGUCCAUCUUCAAACCAGGGCUAACAAACCCAUUGAAAUCCUCACAAUGGGUAAAAAAUAGACAUUGACAAAUCUCCACCCAACAAGUUUUUCUAAUCAAUCACCUAACAUUAAUUAACGAUUUCUUUUCUCUUUCUUCUUCAUAUUCUUUACUCUUACCCCUCUUCCUCCUUCCUACCCACUCCUCUCUCUCCUCUUUAUCAAUAACCAUUACUUCCCUAACCACUAUCAUUCACCCAUCAAUCGUUCCAUCAUGGCUACUAUCAUAAUCAUUCACAAUCCCUAAAUGCCUAUAGUUAUUUCAUCUUGUCUUCACUAUUAGCCUUCUAUUGAGAUUUGCCUUCUCAAAUCCUCAUAUUCUCCACCUCCUUGCCCUCAUUCUCUACAAAAGAGUUGAUUUUAUGCAAAGUGAUCGGAUUGCUUGUUUUGGCAACCAAGAUCACAUCCCCAAGAGAUUUGGUUCACAAACAUCCCGCAAAUUGGGAUGCACAACCCAGAUUACAAAAUCUAAGGGUUUUAAGCGAAUCAAGCACCAAUGCUUUAUGCUGACCCAAAUCAUGAAACCUGGGGGUUUUAAGCGACUGUAGUAACUAUGGUUUAUAUUGACCCAAAUACUGUUACAAUCAUUUCUCAACAAACAAGCCAACCCAAAUUGCAACCGUUACAAG
rnacentral:misc_RNA from 1 species